rnacentral:tRNA from 1 species
GGGGUUGUGGCUCAAAGGGGAGAGCGUUUGCCUAGCACUCAAGAGACACUGAGUUUGAUCCUCAGCACCA